rnacentral:lncRNA from 1 species
CAACUGGAGCUGCUGAUAAGACACCUACUCGGAGUAAUGAUGCAUAAUGUGAAAAUGCAAUAACCCAGACCUCAUAAGUACGGACGAAUGCCAUCUUUUUAAAGGAAAUGGUUGCAAAUGUGAAGUGCAAUGUGCUGAGCCAUUUUCAAAGGCUGGAGUGAAGGUGUGAUAUCAUAGCUCACUGCAGCCUCUAACUUCUGGGCUCAAGUGAUCCUCCCUCUUCGGCCUCCUAAAGUGCUGGGAUUACAACUAGUAUGUGUCAGAGCUGGAAGGAGGAUGCAGAUCUUUUGAUUUCAAGUUCAAGAACACCAUUGAUAUUGGUCUCAGGGAGCUGUAACUUCAAAACCAAUGGAUGUAUCUUAGAGGGGAAUGAGGUCAACUUGUCUCCCAAGUCUGGUGUAGUCUCA